UUGGGGUUGCGGACAUAUCAUAACGAAGAGGUAUCGUAAUUGAAGAGGUUUGGAAAGACCCACCACAGAAGGUAAUAGUCCUGUAUGUUAAACGAGAAGACUUCAGAUAUGAUCCAGAGUACCACGGGACACGUGAAACCCUGUGGGAAGCAGGAGGGACCACCCUCCAAGGCUAAAUACUACCUAGUGACCGAUAGCGUAUAGUACCGUGAGGGAAAGGUGAAAAGAACCCCGGGAGGGGAGUGAAAUAGAACCUGAAACCCUGCACUUACAAGCUGUGGAAGCACAUUUCUUGUGUGACCGCGUACUUUUUGUAGAACGGGCCAACGAGUUACGUUAAGUAGCAAGGUUAAGCACUUAAGGUGUGGAGCCGUAGCGAAAGCGAGUUUUAACUGAGCGUUCAGUUACUUGACGUAGACCCGAAACCGGGCGACCUACCCAUGAGCAGGAUGAAGCGAAAGUAAAAUUUCGUGGAGGUCCGAACCCACGAGCGUUGAAAAGCUCGGGGAUGACUUGUGGGUAGCGGUGAAAUUCCAAUCGAGCCCGGAGAUAGCUGGUUCUCCCCGAAAUAGCUUUAGGGCUAGCCUCAAGGUGAGAGAUACGGAGGUAGAGCACUGAAUGUCCUAGGGGGUAUUGCACCUACCGAAGACUAUCAAACUCCGAAUGCCGUCAUCUUAUACUUGGGAGUCAGACUGUGGGUGAUAAGAUUCAUAGUCGAAAGGGCAACAGCCCAGAUCGUCAGCUAAGGUCCCUAAAUGUAAGUUAAGUGGUAAAGGAUGUGGGAUUGCACAGACAACCAGGAUGUUGGCUUAGAAGCAGCCACUCAUUCAAAGAGUGCGUAAUAGCUCACUGGUCGAGUGAUCCUGCGCCGAAGAUUUCCGGGGCUAAAACUUACUACCGAAGCUACGGCAUCAGUAAUGAUGGGUAGGGGAGCUUCCCAUACGGGUUGAAGCAUGACCGUAAGGACAUGUGGACAGUAUGGGAGUGAGAAUGUUGGCAUGAGUAGCGAGAUGUGGGUGAGAAUCCCACAGGCCGUAAACCCAAGGUUUCCAGGGGAAGGUUCGUCCGCCCUGGGUUAGUCGGGACCUAAGCUGAGGCCGAAAGGCGUAGGUGAUGGACAACAGGUUGAUAUUCCUGUACUACCGAUAACCGUUUGAGAGAAGGGAUGACACAGUAGGAUAAGCUAAGCACACUGUUGGUUAUGUGUGCCCAAGCAUUGAGGCAGUCAAAGUAGGCAAAUCCGCUUUGAUAAUGCUGGGAUGUGAUGGGGAGCGAAAUUUAGUAGCGAAGUAGCUGAUUUCACACUGUCAAGAAAAGUCUCUAUCGAGGUUAAAGGUACCCGUACCGCAAACCGACACAGGUGGGUGAGGAGAGUAUCCUAAGGCCAGCGAGAGAACUGUUGUUAAGGAACUCGGCAAAAUGACCCCGUAACUUAGGGAUAAGGGGUGCCACCAUCAGGUGGCCGCAGAGAAUAGGCCCAAGCGACUGUUUACCAAAAACAUAGGUUUCUGCUAAGUCGCAAGACGAUGUAUAGGAGCUGACGCCUGCCCGGUGCUGGAAGGUUAAGGGGAUCUGUUAGAGCAAUCGAAGCAGUGAACUUAAGCCCCAGUAAACGGCGGCCGUAACUAUAACGGUCCUAAGGUAGCGAAAUUCCUUGUCGGGUAAGUUCCGACCCGCACGAAAGGCGUAACGAUUUGGGCACUGUCUCAACAACAGACUCGGUGAAAUUGUAAUUCCGGUGAAGAUGCCGGAUACCUGCGACAGGACGGAAAGACCCCAUGGAGCUUUACUGUAGCUUGACAUUGGGUCUUGGUACUACAUGUACAGGAUAGGUGGGAGGCUUUGAAACCAGGACGCCAGUUUUGGCGGAGCCAUCCUUGGGAUACCACCCUUGUAGUACUGGGACUCUAACCAUAGGCCAUGAAUCUGGUCUUGGGACACUGUCAGGUGGGCAGUUUGACUGGGGCGGUCGCCUCCCAAAAGGUAACGGAGGCGCUCAAAGGUUCUCUCAGUACGGUCGGAAAUCGUACGUAGAGUGUAAAGGCAAAAGAGAGCUUGAUUGCAAGACAUACAGGUCGAGCAAGGAUGAAAAUCGGACUUAGUGAUCCGGUGGUUCUGCGUGGAAGGGCCAUCGCUCAACGGAUAAAAGCUACCCUGGGGAUAACAGGCUUAUCUCCCCCAAGAGUCCACAUCGACGGGGAGGUUUGGCACCUCGAUGUCGGCUCAUCACAUCCUGGGGCUGUAGUAGGUCCCAAGGGUUGGGCUGUUCGCCCAUUAAAGUGGUACGCGAGCUGGGUUCAGAACGUCGUGAGACAGUUCGGUCCCUAUCCGUCGCAGGCGUAGGAAAUUUGAGAAGACCUGUCCUUAGUACGAGAGGACCGGGAUGGACGUACCUCUGGUGUACCAGUUGUUCUGCCAAGGGCAUGGCUGGGUAGCUAUGUACGGAAUGGAUAAGCGCUGAAAGCAUCUAAGCGCGAAGCCAACUUCAAGAUAAGAUUUCCCACCGCAAGGGUAAGACCCCAGAAAGACUAUCUGGUUGAUAGGUCGAAGGUGUAAGUGCAGCAAUGUAUUUAGCUUAUCGAUACUAAUAGGUCGAGGACUUGACCAA
rnacentral:rRNA from 1 species